CAGAGACAGCACUGGGAUGCAGUGGGGAUGCAGUGCAGGGACAUGGGGGGGACAGUGGGGACGCAGUGCAGAGACUGUGCAGGGACAGCACUGGGACAGUGUGGGGAUGCAGCGGCGAUGCAGUGCAGGGACAGCACUGGGACAAUGUGGGGAUGCAGUGGCGAUGCAGUGCAGGGACAGCACUGGGAUGCAGUGGGGGCAGUGCAGGGACAGCAUUGGGAUGCAGUGGGGAUGCAGUGUAGGGACAGCAGUAGGAUGCAGUGGGGGCAGUGCAGGGACAGCAGUGGGAUGCAGUGGGGAUGCAGUGCAGGGACAGCAUUGGGAUGCAGUGGGGAUGCAGUGCAGGGACAGCAUUGGGAUGCAGUGGGGAUGCAGUGCAGGGACAGCAUUGGGAUGCAGUGGGGAUGCAGUGUAGGGACAGUAUUGGGAUGCAGUGGGGAUGCAGUGCAGGGACAGCAUUGGGAUGCAGUGGGGAUGCAGUGCAGGGACAGCAUUGGGAUGCAGUGGGGAUGCAGUGCAGGGACAGCAUUGGGAUGCAGUGGGGAUGCAGUGUAGGGACAGCAGUAGGAUGCAGUGGGGGCAGUGCAGGGACAGCAGUGGGAUGCAGUGGGGAUGCAGUUGGGGCAGCGCACGGACAGCACUGGGAUGCAGUGGGGGCAGUGCAGGGACAGCGCAGGGAUGCAGAGGAGCAGUGCUGGGGUGGCACUGGGAUGCAGUGAGGGCGGUGUGGGGGUGCAGUGGGGGGCAGUGGGGACACAGCUGGGACAGUGCGGCGGUGCAGGGGGGAAUAGCGUGGAGGCAGAGUGGGAUGCAGAGCGGACAGAGCACGGAUGGUGGGGGGAUGCAGUGGGAGCAGUGCAGGGACUGCACAGGGACAGCACUGGGACAGCGUGGGGAUGCAGUGAGGAUGCAGUGCAGGGACAGCACUGGGAUGCAGUGGAGAUGCAGUGGGGGCAGUGCAGGGACAGCACUGGGAUGCAGUGGGGGCAGUUGAAGGCACAGCAUUGGGGAUGCAGUGGGGAUGCAGUGGGAGCAGUAUAGGGACUGCACAGGGACAGCACUGGGACAGCGUGGGGAUGCAGUGCGGGGACAUGGGGGGGACAUGGCAGAGACAUAAUGAGGAUGGCGGGGGGAUGCAGUGGGGGACAGUGUGGGGACAGUGGGGACACAGUGCAGAGACUGUGCAGGGACAGCAGUGGGACGCAGUGGGGAUGCAGUGCAGGGACAGCACUGGGAUGCAGUGGGGAUGCAGUGCAUGGACAGCAGUGGGAUGCAAUGGGGAUGCAGUGGGGGCAGUGCAGGGACAGCAUUGGGAUGCAGUGGGGAUGCAGUGGAGGGACAUGGGGGGACAUGGCAGAGACAUAAUGAGGACAGCGGGGGGAUGCAGUGGGGGACAGUGUGGGGUCAGUGGGGACGCAGUGCAGAGACUGUGCAGGGACAACAUUGGGAUGCAGUGGGGACGCAGUGGGGGCAGUGCAGGGACAGCACUGGGAUGCAGUGGGGAUGCAGUGGGGGCAGUGCUAGGGACAGCAUUGGGAUGCAGUGCAUGGACAGCAGUGGGAUGCAGUGCGGAUGCAGUGGGGAUGCAGUGCAGGGACAGCAUUGGGAUGCAGUGGGGAUGCAGUGGGGAUGCAGUGCAGGGACAGCAUUGGGAUGCAGUGGGGGCAGCACAGGGACAGCACUGGGACAGCGUGGGGAUGCAGUGCAGGGACAGCACUGGGAUGCAGUGGGGAUGCAGUGGGGGCAGUGCAGGGACAGCAGUGGGAUGCAGUGGGGAUGCAGUGGGGAUGCAGUGUAGGGACAGCAGUGGGAUGCAGUGGGGGCAGCACGAGGACAGUGCGUGGAUGCAGUGGGGACGCAGCGGGGACCCACCGGCCGUGUCCGUGCGCUGCUGGCUGUCCCUGGCGCCGUCUCCCCGUCCUGCGGGAUGGAGGCAGCACUGGGGUGGCAGUGGGGCGGCAGUGGGGUGGGGGGGGGGUCCAGCGUUCAGCCCCCCCCCCACCCCCCCCAACCCCCAUCCGGGUGACAGCAGCGCCCCCCGCCACACGCAGCACUCACUGUGCCGUCCCGCUGUGCGUCGGUGGGGACGGCGGCGGUGUCACCGUGCGGUGCCCCGGGGGGUGGUCCGGGGGGGGGGCCGUGGCCGUCCCUCUCAGUCCAGAGGCGGCUGUCGAGAGUGCGCAGCUCCUCCGAGAUCUCCUCCACCUUCCGCUUGGUGUCCCGCUGGGAGCGGCGACAGCAGCGCAGCGCAUCAACCCCCCGCCCCCACCCCCCCGCCCAACCCCCACACCCCCAAUUCCCGCGACGGCCAUGAAACCCUG
ensembl:lncRNA